rnacentral:rRNA from 1 species
CACGUAGGGGACGAGCGUUGUCCGGAUUCAUUGGGCGUAAAGCGCGCGUAGGCGGCUCGGCAAGUCUGCUCUGAAAGCCCGGGGCUCAACCCUGGGAGGCGGGUGGAUACUGCUGAGCUCGAGUCCGGAAGAGGCGAGUGGAAUUCCUGGUGUAGCGGUGAAAUGCGCAGAUAUCAGGAGGAACACCAAUGGCGAAGGCAGCUCCGCUGGGACGGUACUGACGCUGAGGCGCGAAAGCGUGGGGAGCAAACAG